GACGAACGCUGGCGGCGUGCUUAACACAUGCAAGUCGAACGGGAUUUAGUAGACAGAAGCCUCGGCUAAAGAUUACUAAUGAGAGUGGCGAACGGGUGAGUAACGCGUGAGCAACCUGCCUAUGACAGUGGGAUAGCCUCGGGAAACCGGGAUUAAUACCGCAUAAAAUCGUAGAAACACAUGUUUUAACGGUCAAAGAUUUAUCGGUCAUAGAUGGGCUCGCGUCUGAUUAGCUAGUUGGUGAGAUAACAGCCCACCAAGGCGACGAUCAGUAGCCGGUCUGAGAGGAUGACCGGCCACAUUGGAACUGAGACACGGUCCAAACUCCUACGGGAGGCAGCAGUGGGGAAUAUUGCACAAUGGGGGAAACCCUGAUGCAGCGACGCCGCGUGAACGAAGAAGGUAUUCGUAUCGUAAAGUUCUGUCCUAUGGGAAGAUAAUGACAGUACCAUAGAAGAAAGCUCCGGCUAAAUACGUG
rnacentral:rRNA from 1 species